CUGCAAAGCCACUCUACUUUAAUGACAGAUACCUGAAUGUGAAAAAAGUUUUGGUUGAUACUUUCUUUGGUCCUCCAAAGGAGGGAGUAUACAGCCCAUCUGUUCAAAGCACUCUUUAUCAAAUGGCAGAGGCUGUUCUUGCAAGGUUUCCUGAUAUAUCAUCAAUCCAAUUAAAAAUGCCGAAUAUCCAUUUCCUGCCGAUUAAUCUAUCAACCAAAGAAAAUCUUAUUGUGAAGUUUGAAGAUGAUGUUUAUUUACCAACAGAUGAACCACAUGGAUCAAUUGAAGCGAGCUUGAGCCGCAUCUUGUCCAAGAUGUAAAGCUGCUGCUAAGUAGUGUUUUCAGUUGUCUUUUUUUCUGCUAUGUCCUCAAAAGGGUUCCAUUAGUAUACUUGGUGGAAUCUAGUGUAUCUUAGCCAAACCCUUCGCAUGAUGGCUUGACAUGUGGUUGUAUGGUCUGGAGAUGCUUACUUGUCUUGCAAUGUGUAUGUAAAUUAUGUUGUUUAAAUAAUCAGCUUCUUGCUGACGAUUGUGUAUUUUAGAGUCAUCUCAGUCUUUCAUGA